UGGGGAAUAUUGCACAAUGGGCGCAAGCCUGAUGCAGCCAUGCCGCGUGUAUGAAGAAGGCCUUCGGGUUGUAAAGUACUUUCAGUCGGGAGGAAGGUGUCAAGGUUAAUAACCUUGGCAAUUGACGUUACCGACAGAAGAAGCACCGGCUAACUCCGUGCCAGCAGCCGCGGUAAUACGGAGGGUGCAAGCGUUAAUCGGAAUUACUGGGCGUAAAGCGCACGCAGGCGGUUUGUUAAGUCAGAUGUGAAAUCCCCGGGCUCAACCUGGGAACUGCAUCUGAUACUGGCAAGCUUGAGUCUCGUAGAGGGGGGUAGAAUUCCAGGUGUGGCGGUGAAAUGCGUAGAGAUCUGGAGGAAUACCGGUGGCGAAGGCGGCCCCCUGGACGAAGACUGACGCUCAGGUGCGAAAGCGUGGGGAGCAAACAGG
rnacentral:rRNA from 1 species